AACGAACGCUGGCGGCAUGCCUAACACAUGCCAGUCGAACGAGACCUUCGGGUCUAGUGGCGCACGGGUGCGUAACGCGUGGGAACCUGCCCUUAGGUUCGGAAUAACUCAGAGAAAUUUGAGCUAAUACCGGAUAAUGUCUUCGGACCAAAGAUUUAUCGCCUUUGGAUGGGCCCGCGUAGGAUUAGCUUGUUGGUGGGGUAAUGGCCUACCAAGGCGACGAUCCUUAGCUGGUCUGAGAGGAUGAUCAGCCACACUGGGACUGAGACACGGCCCAGACUCCUACGGGAGGCAGCAGUGGGGAAUAUUGGACAAUGGGCGAAAGCCUGAUCCAGCAAUGCCGCGUGAGUGAUGAAGGCCUUAGGGUUGUAAAGCUCUUUUACCAGGGAUGAUAAUGACAGUACCUGGAGAAUAAGCUCCGGCUAACUCCGUG
rnacentral:rRNA from 1 species